UACGUAGGGAGCGAGCGUUAUCCGGAAUUAUUGGGUGUAAAGGGUGCGUAGACGGGAGAGCAAGUUAGUUGUGAAAUCCCUCGGCUUAACUGAGGAACUGCAACUAAAACUACACUUCUUGAGUGCAGGAGAGGUAAGUGGAAUUCCUAGUGUAGCGGUGAAAUGCGUAGAUAUUAGGAGGAACACCAGUGGCGAAGGCGACUUACUGGACUGUAACUGACGUUGAGGCACGAAAGUGUGGGGAGCAA
rnacentral:rRNA from 1 species